rnacentral:rRNA from 1 species
AUGAACGCUGGCGGCGUGCCUAAUACAUGCAAGUCGAGCGAACGGACGAGAAGCUUGCUUUUCUGAUGUUAGCGGCGGACGGGUGAGUAACACGUGGAUAACCUACCUAUAAGACUGGGAUAACUUCGGGAAACCGGAGCUAAUACCGGAUAAUAUUUUGAACCGCAUGGUUCAAAAGUGAAAGACGGUCUUGCUGUCACCUAUAGAUGGAUCCGCGCUGCAUUAGCUAGUUGGUAAGGUAACGGCUUACCAAGGCAACGAUGCAUAGCCGACCUGAGAGGGUGAUCGGCCACACUGGAACUGAGACACGGUCCAGACUCCUACGGGAGGCAGCAGUAGGGAAUCUUCCGCAAUGGGCGAAAGCCUGACGGAGCAACGCCGCGUGAGUGAUGAAGGUCUUUGGAUCGUAAAACUCUGUUAUUAGGGAAGAACAUAUGUGUAAGUAACUGUGCACAUCUUGACGGUACCUAAUCAGAAAGCCACGGCUAACUACGUG